GCUUGGUUUGAAAAGCCAGUGGCGGGAAGCUAUCAUGCCGCUAGAUUAUGACUGAACGGCCUCUAAGUCAGAAUCUGAGAUAAAAGCGAUGCACGUGUCCGUCGCCCAAUUACCGACCCGUAAUAGGGGCCUUUGGCUCCAAGGGCACGUAUAGUAGGUUCAAUUCCAGAUAGGGAGCCUAAGAAACGGCUACCACAUCCAAGGAAGGAAACAGGCGUGCAAAUUACCAAUCUUGACACGGAGCGGUAGUGGCAAUAAAUAACAAUACCGGGCUUUUAAUGAGUCUUGUAAUUAGAAUGAGUACAAUCUAAAUCCCUUAUCGAGGAUCCAUUGGAGGGAAAGUCUAGUGCUAAGAAAUCGCGGUAAUUCCAGCUCCAAUAGCAUAUAUUUAAGUUGUUACAGUUAAAAAAGCUCGUAGUUGGACUUAGGGGUGGGUCCGGUCGAUUUCGCCUCACGGUGAGCCCUGGUUCUGCUCGUCCCUACUACUAGCGAUGAGCUCCUAGCCAUAAAUUGGUUGGGUCGUUCCUCCGAUGCUGUUACUUUGAAGAAAUUAGAGUGCUCAAAGCAAGCCUGCGCUUGUAUUACAUUAGCAUGGGAUAACAUCAAUAGGAUUUUGAUCCCAUUGUGUUGGCCUUCGGGAUCGAAGUAAUGAUUAACAAGGACAGUCAGAGGCAUUCGUAUUUCAUAGUCAGAGGUGAAAUUCUUGGAUUUAUGAAAGACGAGCAACUACGAAAGCAUUUACCAAGGAUGUUUUCAUUAAUCAAUAACGAAAGUUGAGGGCUCGAAGUCGAUCAGAUACAAUCCUAGUCUCAACCAUAAACGAUGCCAACCAAGGAUCGACGGAUGUUGCUUUUAGGACUCUGUCGACACCUUAUGAGAAAUCAAAGUCUUUGGGUUCCGGGGGAGUAUGGUCGUAAGGCUGAAACUUAAAGGAAUUGAUGGAAGGGCACCACCAGGAGUGGAGCUGUGGCUUAAAUUGACUCAAAAUGGGGAAACUUACCAGGUCUAGACAUAAUAAGGAUUGAAUGACUCAGAGCUCUUUCUUGAUUCUAUGGGUGGUGGUGCAUGGCCAUUCUUAGUUGUGGAGCGAUUUGUCUAGUUAAUCUGUUAACGAAUGAGACCUCAACCUGCUAAUAGCUACACGAAGGUGAUCCUCCGUGGCUAGCUUCUUAGAGGGAUAAUGGCCUUUUGGCCAAGGAAGUUUGAGGCAAUAACAGGUCUGUGAUGCCUUUAGAUGUUCUGGGCCGUACGCUGCUACACUGAUGUAUUCAACAAGUCUAGAGCCUUGGCGAUAGACCCGGGUAAUCUUUGAAAUUUUAUCGUGAUGGGGAUAGAUCAUUGCAAUUGUUGGUCUUCAACGAAGAAUUCCUUGUAAGUACGAGUCAUCAGCUCGCGUUGACUACAUCCCUGCCCUUUGUACAUACGUUUGUCACUCCUACCGAUUGAAUGGUCUAGUGAAAUGUUUGGAUCGCGAUGAUGUGGGCAGUUCACUGCCCGUGACGUCGCGAGAAGUCCAUUGAACCUUAUCAUUCAGAGGAAGGAGAACUCGUAACAAGGUUUCUGUAGGUGAACCUGCGAAAG
rnacentral:rRNA from 1 species